rnacentral:tRNA from 1 species
UCUUAGGUGACUGAGUAUAAGUGCUAGACUUUUAAUCUAGAUACAGCAUGUAGAAAUGCUCCUAGGAA